CCUACGGGAGGCAGCAGUGGGGAAUAUUGGACAAUGGGGGCAACCCUGAUCCAGCCAUGCCGCGUGUGUGAAGAAGGCCUUUUGGUUGUAAAGCUCUUUAAGCAGGGAGGAGAGGCUAAUGGUUAAUACCCAUUAGAUUAGACGUUACCUGCAGAAUAAGCACCGGCUAACUCUGUGCCAGCAGCCGCGGUAAU
rnacentral:rRNA from 1 species